rnacentral:rRNA from 1 species
ACAGAUCGUUCAGAGUUUGAUCCUGGCUCAGGACGAACGCUGGCGGCGUGCUUAACACAUGCAAGUGGAGCGACGAACCAGGGCUUGCCCUGGGGCAGAGCCGCGAACGGGUGAGUAACACGUGGGCAACCUGCCCCGAUGACUGGGACAACCCGAGGAAACUCGGGCUAAUACCGGAUGUGCUCCCUCACAUAAGUGAGACGAGUAAAGGAAGCUUCGGCCUCCGCAUUGGGAUGGGCCCGCGGCCCAUUAGCUUGUUGGUGGGGUAAUGGCCUACCAAGGCAACGAUGGGUAGCUGGUCUGAGAGGACGAUCAGCCACACUGGGACUGAGACACGGCCCAG